CUUGAACGCUGGCGGCCGGCCUAACACAUGCAAGUCGAGCGCGCGGCGGACGGGUGAGUAAUGUCUGGGAACCUGACUGAUGGAGGGGGAUAACUACUGGAAACGAUAGCUAAUACCGCAUACCAUCAGCUGUGCCCAGAUGGGAUUAGCUAGUAGGUGGGGUAACGGCGCACCUAGGCGACGAUCCCGAGCGGGUCUGCGAGGAUGAUCAGUCACACGGGAACUGAGAAACGGUCCAGACUCCUACGGGAGGCAGCAGUGGGGAAUAGUGGACAAUGGGCGAAAGCCUGAUCCAGCCAUGCCGCGUGUGUGAAGAAGGUCUUCGGAUUGUAAAGCAAUUUAAGUUGGGAGGCGUUACCAACAGAAUAAGCACCGGCUAACUUCGUGCCAGCAGCCGCGGUAAUAC
rnacentral:rRNA from 1 species